rnacentral:misc_RNA from 1 species
CUCAAAGGAGCAUCCCAUUUUGCAAUUGGCAUUGCAUGAUGAUAGCAUAUGGGUUGCAACAACAGAUUCUUCAGUUCAUAGAUGGCCUGCUGAAGGACGCAAUCCUCAAAAGGUCUUCCAAAGAGGUGGUUCAUUUUUAGCUGGAAACCUGUCCUUUUCGAGGGCAAGGAUUUCUUUAGAAGGAUCCACCCUGGUUCCUGUCUACAAAGAACCGACCUUAAGCAUUCCUGGAACUCCAGCAAUAGUUCAGCAUGAAAUUUUAAAUAAUAGAAGGCAUGUCCUGACUAAGGAUACUGCUGGUUCAGUGAAGCUAUGGGAGAUCACAAGGGGUGUUGUAGUUGAGGACUAUGGAAAGGUGUCAUUUGAGGAGAAAAAGGAGCAAUU